UACAGAGGGGGCAAGCGUUGUUCGGAAUUACUGGGCGUAAAGGGCGCGUAGGCGGCCUGCUAAGUCGAACGUGAAAUCCCCGGGCUCAACCCGGGAACUGCGUCCGAUACUGACAGGCUCGAGUCCGGGAGAGGGAUGUGGAAUUCCAGGUGUAGCGGUGAAAUGCGUAGAUAUCUGGAGGAACACCGGUGGCGAAGGCGGCAUCCUGGACCGGUAUUGACGCUGAGGCGCGAAAGCCAGGGGAGCAAACGGG
rnacentral:rRNA from 1 species